UUAUUACUCCCUCCGUCCGGAAAUACUUGUCCUUGAAAUGGAUGUAUCUAGAUUUAUUUUAGUUCUAGAUACAUCCAUUUUCAUCCAUUUUGACGACAAGUAUUUCCGGACGGAGGGAGUAUUAG
rnacentral:pre_miRNA from 1 species